GACGAACGCUGGCGGCGUGCUUAACACAUGCAAGUCGAACGAAGUGGCGAACGGGUGAGUAACGCGUAAUCAACCUGCCCUUCAGAGGGGGACACCAGUUGGACACGACUGCUAAUACAGCAUAUUGAAGGAGGGGGAUGCGUCUGUUUAGCUAGGUGGAGGGGUAACGGCCCACCAAGGCGAGGAUCAGUAGCCGGGCAGAGAGGAUGAACGGCAACAUUGGGACUGAGACACGGCCCAGACUCCUACGGGAGGCAGCAGUGGGGAAUCUGCCGCAAUGGACGAAAGUCUGACGGAGCAACGCCGCGUGAGUGAUGACGGCCUGCGGGUUGUAAAGCUCUGUUAAUCGGGACGCGGUACCGGAAUAGAAAGCCACGGCUAACUACGUGCCAGCCGCCGCGGUAAUAC
rnacentral:rRNA from 1 species